GCCCCUCUGAAAAUUUUAAAUCAGAGGAGAGGGAGAUCAAGGAGAGAGUCAAGAGGGCUCGGGAGAGCUCGCGACAAAGCUUGCGAGAGAGAGAGAGAGAGAGAUUUGUGAGAGAAAGGGGAAGAUCGGCCAUGGCAGUGGCUGCCAUGGUCGACGAUGAAGGGAGUAGCGACAAGGAAGCGGCUAACGGUUGGCAAUGGUCGCGGGAGCAGCGAGGAAGAGGUCGAUGGUGGUGGAAGGCAGUCGCGACACGGUGGCCAGAAGCUUCUACGGUCGGCCAUGGCGGACGCGGGGACAGCAGCAACGAAGUGGCAGCGGCGGGCGGUGGCUCACGCCUGCGACAGUGGACGGCGGCAGCGGCCGUGGCAAGGCGACUGAGAGCGACCGGCGAAGGCGGCACCGCCGGCAGUAGCUGGCCCGAGUGGCGAUGACCGGUGGCCUGCGCGCAGAGGCGUUGUCCAUGCGUGGAAGAAGAAGAAAGCGCAAGGAAGAAGAAGUCGUGCACGGGAAGAAAGAAAAAAAAAAUAGAAAAAAAAUAAAUAAAAAUAAAGGAAAUUCUGAAAAUUAAGGGGAAAAGGGAGAAAAAUGUCAAAAAAUUCCAGAAAAAUAGGGAAAGAGUCUGGAAAUUAUUUUGGGGCUUGAGGAGUGUGCCGGAAGCUCAAGAAUGGAAUUUUGGGCAUGAAAUGGAAGCUCGGGAAGCAACGUCGGCGUGGGCGUUUGGCGAUUUUUUCCUUCCAAUAGAAUGAGGUUCGACCGGGAGAGCGGUGAUCCUAGAAGAGCUCGGAGCUCCGGCAAGCAUUCUCGACGAGGCAGAGAUGAGGCUUCGAGCCAGAUGAUGCAAGUCCGGAUGCAGGCAGGGAUGGCGCCGGGAGGCUGUUGUGGCAACUAGCUGUGUUGCCCGAGUUAUGUAUUUUUAAUAUUGCUUGUAUGUAGCCAAGGGGCGUGGUGUAUGUAUACCUUUGUGAGUAAAUAUCUGUAUUAUUGAGCUUAAAUGUAUUUAAUUGUGUAAUCAACAUAGUGUGAUCGAUGAUUGUGAGAUUGCUUGUUGAAUGUGGCAUAGUCGGUAAAGCCAAGUUUCGGACCGAGUCAAGAUCAGCAAGGUAUGUUCUCAUAAAUCCCCAAUACUCAGCGAAGUGUUUAUAUGCUAGCUUUGUGCUUGAGUCACCUCUGGCUUGCUAUGGGGCGAGCUGAAGAGAAGUGAAGCUCACUCGGGUUUCGGGUCUUGGUCCGCUGGAUUUUUCUUAUUUGAGUUGGGACCGAUUCCUGAGUAGAGCGAAGGGAAGGAUGAAGCCUAAUUCCCACAUAGGGCGUUUCCUGUUGAAACAUAGUCCAACCCUUCAGUUGUGGUUGUCGGGUGAGUAAUCCGAUCGAUUAUUUACCGGUGGCGCCCGUAAGUGGGAGCGGAUCGUUACACAAGUGGGCAAUGGAGAUUUCAAUUGAAGCAACAAGAGAAUCAAACUUAUGAGAGUACCAAAAUUUAUAAUGCACGAACCAAAGCAUGGAAUGAUUCACUUAAAGGAGAAGGAACUUCAAAUUAAGAAGUGAUAGUCAAGCUAAUGACUAUAAAUAAGCGCUUUUUGGGAGGCAAUCCAAAUUUAUUUUUCAUUUGCUGCAUUUUAUUUUCUUUUCUCACCCCAAUUUUUAAUCUCAUAUGUGUUCUUUAAUUUAGUUUUGCAUGUUUUGUAGGAAUAUCAAUUAAGAAGCAUUGAAGCACCACUCAUAUUCCUUCAAGACUGUAAUAAAAUCAGGGAAGUAUUUUUGUUUUUUAUAUCUUUUAUUUCUCUUACAAUAUUGAGGACAAUAUUGAGUUUAAGUUUGGGGGUAGAUGGAAAAUUUAAAAUUAAAAAAUAUGAUUUAAAAAAUAAAAAAUAAAAAAUUAUGUAAAAAAAAAAACUUAUUUGUUUUGUUUCGAUUUGAGGCUUGUUUGUUUGGAUGAUUGAAGAGCGUAUGAUAAAACUUGAUUAAAAUAAAUUAUGACUUUUUGAAAAUUCUCUACAUUACAAUAUAAUUUGUAUUUAAAGAUUGAGUUAGUUUAUUGUUCAUUUGGAAUUUUUGGAACAAUUUGAGCACAUAGCCUUGAGUAAUGAGUUGUUUUGUUAUGCAGAAAAGAUUUAUGUAAAUUUUGUAACUUUAAAUAGAUCUCAGCAAACUCUAGAACUUGCUUGAUUACCUCUCGAGACAAAAUCCUAGACAUUGCACAAUUAAGGGUAUGAUUUAGGCAUUCUUUGGAUUGAAAUUAAUAACCUUUAAACUUAUCAUGUAUUUUGUAUUUAUCCCUAGUUUACCCCUUUGAGCCUUGUAUGUAUUUGAGCAUUUUUCUUUGGUAAACCACAUUAACCUUUCUUUUAUAACCUAAACACCAAACCUACCCUUCAAAAGGAAUUGUUGGUGAAAAAAAAAAAAAAGAGAAGAUAUAAGUGUGAGUGAUAUAAAUUUAAGGGUUAAUUUAUUAAUAUUAAUGGAGCAGAGUUGGAAGCUACAAUUCCCACAUAUAUGAUGAAAAUUAAGUUUGGGAGGGAAUGGUUGAUAGGGCUUAAUUGUAUAUAUAUUUUUAUCUUAAUUUUGUAUUAUUUUUCUUACAUAAAUGUGUGUUUAUAUGGAUUUUACAUUAUUUUAAUCUCUUUUUGUAGAAUUUGGCAUAGCAUAUUAUUUUGAAGAUUUGGGCAAAAAAACAAAAGAAAAAAAGUAUUAUAAAAUUAAUUUCAAAAUUAAUAUUAUAAAUGAAUAUAAUAAUAGAAAUAAAUAAAUAUUUUAAAUAAUUAAUAUUAUAAUAUAAUUAAAGUUAUUAUAAUUAAUAGUAUAUUAAUUAUAAUAUAUUAUAAUAUAUAUUAAAUUAUAAUAUUUAUAUAUAUGUAUUAUAAUUAUACCAACAGUAGCGUGAAAUUGGAGGACUCAAGCUAGGGCUACGUACAUGCCCAUACAUAUAUAUAUAUAUAUAUAUUAUAAGAUAGGAAAACGGAAGGCACGCACAGGAGGAAUUGAAGAUAAAAGCGGACAUAGUGAAGAAGGAAGCAGUGGACACAGUGAAAAAAUUGGAGAGAUUUUGAAGCCGCGCGCAAAGCAAAAAAUUGCAAGGGAUGCUUCAUGCACGUAGCAGCAAUUCCAAUCCAGUGCAAUUGCGACCCAGAUCUAUUUUAGAUCUGCGCAGGAAACAUCUCUCUCUUUUUCAAUUUCAGUGUUUAUUUUUAAUGUUAAUAAUUUCUAGCUAAAUUAUUUUAGUUAGGGUUUGGAUGGAUUUUAAUUUUGGGAUUAUAUGAUUAUUUGUUUAGUUCGAUUCAAAACCCGAUUAUUAUUUGCAUGAGGAAUUUAUAUUGUUGGGUUUAAUAUUUUAAAAGAUUGGUCACCUUUUAAUGAUUUAUUCAUGAUUGGCUAAAGUAUUGUUAUAAAUUAGAUUCAUAGGCAAUAAAAUCACAUGUUAAACUAUGAUAUCAAAAGAUGAUUAGUUCAUUUGUGAAAAUCGAGGAAGCUUAGUGAGUUAAAUCCCCUUUCUAGAUUAGAGAUUUCCAAAGAACUUAAUACUUAUUUAUUUCGUUGAUAUUUGUUCAGAAAUCUGACAGUGAAAUUGAAUUAAUAAAGGAUUAAUAUGACUUGAGAAAUCUUAUUAAUUAAUUGAGGAAAAUCCACUAUUACAUGCAAAUAAUUAUAAAAUACUAUAAGGGUAUUUGUGGUUUUGAAUCGGGUUGAAUAGAUAAUUACAUAAUCCAGAUUAAAUGAAAUUUAAACCCUAGUGCAUUAAUUAAUUAAUUAUUCUCACGAAGAAUUCAGUUUUUUCAUUUAUUUUUUUUAUUCAUCUGAUUAAUUAAUUAGUUCAACUUAGGCUAAAUUAAAAUUGUUUUGGUAUAAAUAUACUUGUUAAGCCUUGUAACUCACUUUGUUGUACUCUCGUGUCAUUCCAGGUAAAGGUAAAGCAGUGGUUGAGGGCGAGUCUAGUGGGACUAGAGCCCAAGGUUAGAGGUGUACAGAGACCUUCCAGAUUAAUUGGUCCAUGUUAGUGUUUGUGAAGAAGGCAUGUGUGAGGGAAUUUUAUGUUGUAAAAUUUGUUAAUACCCUUGUAUUUCAUUUUUGUGUAGGCCAUAGUGCCAAGAUGUUGUAAACCUUUAUGUUGGCUUCUGCUGAAUUUA